rnacentral:rRNA from 1 species
UACAGAGGUCCCAAGCGUUACUGAGAAUCACUGGGUUUAAAGGGCGCGUAGGCGGAUGGCACAGUCAGAUGUGAAAUUCCCGGGCUUAACCUGGGGGCUGCAUUUGAUACGUGUUGUCUUGAGUUUGGAAGAGGGUCGUGGAAUUCCCAGUGUAGAGGUGAAAUUCGUAGAUAUUGGGAAGAACACCGGUGGCGAAGGCGGCGACCUGGUCCGACACUGACGCUGAGGCGCGAAAGCGUGGGGAGCAAACAGG